ensembl:lncRNA
AAAGGCUUAAUGUCGAGCUAGCCUGAGUUGGCCUAUAUUUUAUAUAGUGUCAUGGUUAUGUGGUGAGCCUGAGUAUAGUUUUACACAUCAGCCCAGUCUAGUCUGUAGAGUUACUGAUACGCAGUCGCUUCAGAACAGAGAGGGUGAGAUAGGGAAAAGCAGUAGCAGCACAACGUUACAGAGAACAGAUGAGGUGAAGCUGCUUAAAGACAGGGAGGGUGAGACAGGGAGAAGUAGCUCAGAGCUGCAGGUAUGUGCUGUGUAAAGGG